UUGCUCACUUCAGCAGCACAUAUACUAAAAUUGAAACAAUACAGAGAAGAUUAGCAUGGCCCUUGCACAAGGAUGACACACAAAUGGUAUAGGUACAGACCAUUAUU
ensembl:snRNA U6 U6 spliceosomal RNA